CUCCUCCGCCUGGUCGCGUUCUUCACUAUUUCUUUCAUUAUUCUCAUUCAAAUUCGAUUCUAGGGUUUACAAAUUCUCAAUUGAUUUAGGGAUUUUGUUGAUUUACUACUACCUUGCAUGAUUCUAAUUUCUAUUCUAGUCGCAUGUUUGAUUGUAAUUUCAAUUCUAGCUGCAUGCAUUAUUCAGGGUUUUCCAAUUUUGAUUAUAGGUUUGCUAAUUACGAUUAUGAGUUUUAUAAUUUUGAUUCUAGGGUUUUCGAAUACCCAUGUCAUUUUUUUUUGUUCUAUUGUAAGCGCAUUCAAUGGCAUUUAUAUUCCAAAGGCUUUUCCGGCGUGAUAAUCACAUGUGCCUGUCCUUAUCUGCCGUGAUACCACUAUAUUCGUUUUUUUGUCGUUUCCGUCGCAUUUGUCAUUGUAAGCAACUUCUUUCAUCAUCAAUUUCAAAAUUGAACAUCUUUGUGUGUUUUUUUUUCUUGAUGUUCUUAUUGGCUGGUGUCUAGUCUGGAUUUCAUUAAACUAUUUCUAUUUGUAUGAUUUUUUAAAGGAUUUUCUCCAAUUCCAUAUGACUCAUAGUCUAUUUUCUUCUUAAUCAUGAUUUUAAUUUGAAAAUGCUUCUGAAUAUGCAAUUGUCAAGAAUGUAGCUUGAGUUAUAGACUUUAAGCCCCAUGUUUCAUAAGUCUUAUGAACUGGGUAUAAUAUAUUGUUGUUGUUUGGUCAAAGAUUCUCAUAUGUUUCUUUACAACUGAAUGAACAGAUUUUAAAAGACAAUGAGUUAAAUUUUGUCAUCAGUGAGUUAUCAUCAACUGAUUGAACAGAUUCUCAAAUGUUUCUUUACAAAGUUGUCAUCACUGUGAGUUAAUUCUGUAACUAGACAAUGUAUCUAGCUAUCUGUUUGUAAUAGAAUUUUACUUUCUUGUUCAUAAUUUUGGUCUGGGUUAAAUUUUCUUGUUUGAUCUGGGUUAUGUUUUUAAAUCAAAUCUGAUCUCCAGGUACACUCGGUGUUGAGUUCGCUACCAAGACACUCUAAGUCAAAGCAAAAGUCCUACUGCUGGUCAAGAGAGAUGUGCUUUACUGGCUUUCUAGCCUCACGUGCACAGACGAGAAUUACAUCAUCAAAUCCAAGGCUCAACGUGCUGCUUCUACCUAAUUCUUAGCACCAUCUCCACCACUACAUCUCUUCCACUGAGAAUUUUGAUGUUGUCGAUUCUUUGGACUUCGUAAUGUCUGAUGAAAUGGCUGAUGCAAGAGCGGAUCGUCUUAAAAAGAUGAUCACUGAGGGAGUGGAUUGGAGUCACCAUCUAUGGGAGGUAGAAGAAGCAAUACCUGUAUGCAACUCUUGACAAAGAUGAGAAAGCAACAGAUGAAGAGAAUGAGAAUAUAGCAGAAGAAAGCGAAUUGAGGACACCAACUGCUGUAGGUAGCUUGAUUGCGGGUUCGAGUCGAGGAAAGAAAAGGGUCGCUGAUCCUGGUGCAGAGUCACACAAGCAGAAGUUGAAAUGUGACCGAUCAGCUACGAAAGCCAUUGAUGAGGACUUGAACUCAUUUAUUCAAGGAUUUUUGCAGACCUCGUUCAAAGCUUUGGAGGAGAGACUUGAUAGCAAGAUUGAUAGUCGUGUGGAGAUGCUGGAGAAGAAAAUGGAAAACCGAGUGGAGAUGCUUGAGAAGAAGAUUAUGGAGUCCUCCAAACAACUGGAUUUACAAGUGAUACUCCUACCACAUCAAAAUCACCACAUGGUGUCAACGCUUUAGCUGCUAAGACGUUGACCAGUGCUGCUAAAAAAAACUUCUACUGCAUCAACAAUUGCUACUCCAAAGCCAUAACGAGAUCUGCAUGUGCUAUUCCAAGCAAGGGAGAUUCCAAUACCUGAUGCACAAGAAUCAGAAAUAAUGUCUUUGUUUAGGCUGUGAUGUGGUUUGUUUAAUAUUUGUAUAACGUUGUUGUUAAAAUGUAAUUUGUGUGUCUGGUAAUAUUGUUGUUAAAAUGUAAUAUGUGUAUCUAGAUAAUAUGCUUGAAACAUGUACUAUUUUUUUUGUCUUGUACUUGUAAUUUGGUUUUGUUAAAAC